AAUCAGCCCCUGGUAACUCCAAGGGAACCAGCGGAAGAGCUGCAUCAACACAAUUCCUGUUCUUAAACUCCAGUACUUUGUCCAGGACCAGCUCCUUUGACCUAUCAAUCACUGCAUUUGUCAUGGCCACAUUGAACAUAAUAAUGUCCUAAGGAGUUCCAUUCCCUAGAUUUCCCUGUGUAAUGUUUGUUGCUGGCAGUGGCUUGCUGCUUAGUGCCAAGGCAGGAUGACAAUGUCAAGAUAAAAAAGGAUCUUUCGAUGUACUUCUUUUUAAGAUUUAGUUUUAGUUUCAGUUGUGUUUGGGCGUGUGCAAGUGUGAGAGCAAGAAGAGUCCAGAAGAGGAGGUCAUAUGCCCUGGAGCUGGAGUUACAGACAACUGUGAGACAUUAAGUGGGUGCUGGAAACCAAACUCAGGACUUCUGCAAGAACGGGAUAUACUCUUAACGACGGAUUUAGCUCUCCAACCCUUCCUUUAAUUUAUUGAUUAUUAUUAUUUAUUGAUUCAUUUUCCAUUCUCUUUCUAUUCCUUUGAUAGGUAUCUACAUUUUGACGAUGAUGACAAGGUCAUGUGUGUGUGGUUUAUGAGGUCCCAUGCCCCUCCUUGUCCUGGAGCUUGCCCGACACAGAAUGUCCAGCAGAUCUCCUCUACGCUGUAUCUUACCCCAGUGGGAUCAAGUAGCGAGAAGACAGGGGAAACUCAAGAUUGAACGAGAUUUAUUGGACCAAUGAGAUGUGCUAGGAAGCAGUGGCAAGAGAGUCCUUCGAGGCUCGGUUACCUUACGUAUCUGCCCUUGAAGCUGAGUGGGAGAAGCCAAGAUGGAGCAAACAUCCACGGUGGAUGAUAUAUCGGCCCACCAUUAAAUGAGCCACUGUGUGUUAGUAAGUGUUCCCUGCCAUGUUCAAUCUUCUGCCACUCACAGCCCGGAAGCAAUGGAACCAGACAGCCUCUGACCAUGAACCAGAAGAAAUUCUUUCCUGUUGGAUAUGGUACAGUGUUGUGAUCCAAGCAGUAGGGAAAUGGAGGCAGGAAGAUCAGGAAUACAAGAUGGCCCGUUUGACACAAAUUAGAACAACCUUGAUAGCUGUCAACUGGAGACUAUCGGAGAACAAAAGGACAUUAUUGCGAGCCAGCACUGGAGGCCUUUGCCCAAGCUCAUGAUGGUAUGGAGCCGCGGUCCAUACCGGAAGGGUGGUGAUACAGACCUCGGGUGAUUCUACAGAUUCCGUGUUGUUAUUGGAGAGCUUGGAGGGUCCAAAGAGAGAUUUAUUACGGUAGAUGCCUGUGUGUACUAGGGUCAUUUUAUACAUACAUACAUCUAGAAACCAUAGUAAGAGAUUUAAAAAAUGUGAUUCUUAGGUCUGGGCAAACUCAGCACAUGGGUUGUUUAUUGGUUGUUUUAUUUUUUCUUCCUGUCCUUAUUGAGACCUUUAAAAUUUUCACUUUUGGAAAUAAUUUAUUACUUUUCUCUAAUACAUCCUAAUUUCCAAAUCCUUUAUUUCUAUACUUUGGGUAAAUAAUGAGUUUAAGUUUAUUUGAACACAAUAAAUAUAAUCCUAUGACAGGUUAUCUGGUAGCAAAGAUAGCUACUGGGUACUAUGAAGCAUGUUUAUGACAGACAAAGAGAUUUUGUUCAUGAAUUUCCUCAAAUUGUCUAUGAACUUCCUUAAGUUGUCUAUCGGUAUGUGAGAGGGAGAGACUGGAGCAGGCCUGGAAGUUACAGCUGUUUGUAAAGUGUGAGUGGAUCAGAGAUCGCAACACUCACACAAUUCUGACAGGCACUGGGUUUCCAACCAGCCCCAGGAGGCUGUCCUCACUACCCCCUCCUCCAUGAACUGAAGUCCAGACAUGGCAAAUGUUGGGAUGGGACUUUUACCGUAACCAAAGAGUAAGAUUUUCUUUAAAGCUGAGUCUAAGACCAAGUUUUGAACAGACAAAACUGAACAGUUGGUAAAUUAAGCCAGUAAAUUUCAAAGAGAGAGAGAGAGAGAGAGAGAGAGAGAGAGAGAGAGAGAGAGGAGAGCUACAAAAUCCAAGGAAUAAAAAUGUGUUAGAGAUGCUGGAGGGCAGAAUCAUGAGAGUUGUUAAUGAACACUGGCAUGUAAACAGAAAAAAAAUGGCAUAUCAUGUUUAAUAGAUAAAGGAUUUCAAAUAAUACUCUUAAAUAAUAUUAUAAUACAUGUAUUCAAACUAUGAAAUAGUGGACACAAUUAAUAAACUGAUGAGAAAUUAUAGUCAAGCCAAAGAAAGUAAUUUCUUAAAUGAAUUCAAAGAAAAUUCUGGAGCAAAACAUCAUAGCACAUAUAACCAAAUUUUAAUUGAAAAAUCUAAUAGAUGAUCUUAAUAUUAUAUUGAACGCUAUCAAAGGGAAGCCAGAGAAUUUUAAGACAGAAAAAUAGGAAGCACAGAGACUAGGGAAGUGAGUGGAGAAGGGGUGAACACAAAACUAAAAAAUUAAAUGAAUUGUAUCUGACUUUGGGAAGACAUCAAGUUGUUUAAUAGAUGUUCAGUUGGAAGCUUGGACAAAUGUAACAAAGAAAUAAGGAAAGAAAAGCGAAAGAAGACAUUAUUUUCCAAAAGAAGAUGAAAACACAAAUCAAAAAGAUUAAAUAAACAC